GCAGGUUAAGGGGCUAAAGUAUCAGGCUUCUUAUCCCAGCAUUUUGGGAGGCCGAGGCUGGUGGAUCACCUGAGGUCAGGAGUUCCAGACCAGCCUGACUAACAUGGUGAAACCUUAUUUCUACUAAAACUACAAAAAUUAGCCGGGCAUGGUGGCCGGCGCCUGUAAUCCCAGCUACUCGGGAGGCUGAGGCAGGAGAAUCUCUUGAAGCCAGCAGGUGGAGGUUGCAGCGAGCCAAGUUUGCACCACUGCACUCCAGCCUGGGCGACAGAGCAAGACUCAGUCUCGAAAAAAAAAAAGUUGGAAGCAGAAGUAAAAAACAUGGUAAAGAAUGAGAACUAAAUAAAUAUAAUAAUUGAGAGGUCUGCAUUAGAUGUGGCAGGGAGAACAAGCAAAAAGAGAUUUCAGAGAAGAUCACUGGAAUUGGCAGAGGCCUUGAAGGGCAGAGUCUAGCAUACAGAAGAUGUAAAGCCACAUUCUGUGAAGGUAAGUAGAUGUGUUUACCUCUUUUGCACUGUACUGGUGCAUUAUGGGGUAAAUGUGUAUUACUUUUCCUUGUAUUGCUUAGCACAGAGUUUUGCCUAUAGCAGGCACCAGACUGUGGGCUUGGUAGUACAUGACUAUUGGUGAUUACAGAUCAAAAAGGACUUGAAAUGAUCAGUUUAAGGUCUUGAUGGGUAUUGAAGACUCAAAGGAUGAUGGCACCCUGGGAGUGAUCCACAGAAGGACAGAUUAUUUGAAGAUGUUAAUAACUAAAGACAACAUGGAUGUUAAAUGAUGAAAAAAAGUUGGAUGGAAAAUAAACCAUUGGAUCUGCCUCUGGAGUCCAAGAAGAAUAUUAUUCUUCCUACCUCCCCCUUACUCUGGCUCUUCCUAUUGUAGCCACAUGGGUCAGUAAUGCCAUUGAAAAACAAAAUUUUAGACUAAGUGGGG
rnacentral:lncRNA from 10 species